UACGUAGGUGGCAAGCGUUGUCCGGAUUUACUGGGCGUAAAGAGCGCGCAGGCGGUCGUACAAGUCGCGUGUGAAAGCCCCCGGCUCAACUGGGGAGGGUCACGCGAUACUGCUCGACUCGAAGGCAGGAGAGGGUAGUGGAAUUCCCGGUGUAGUGGUGAAAUGCGUAGAUAUCGGGAGGAACACCAGUGGCGAAGGCGACUACCUGGCCUGUUCUUGACGCUGAGGCGCGAAAGCUAGGGGAGCAAACGGG
rnacentral:rRNA from 1 species